AGUGAACGCUGGCGGUAAGCCUAACACAUGCAAGUCGAACGGCAGCACAGUAAGAGCUUGCUCUUACGGGUGGCGAGUGGCGGACGGGUGAGGAAUACAUCGGAAUCUACUUUUUCGUGGGGGAUAACGUAGGGAAACUUACGCUAAUACCGCAUACGACCUACGGGUGAAAGCAGGGGAUCUUCGGACCUUGCGCGAUUGAAUGAGCCGAUGUCGGAUUAGCUAGUUGGCGGGGUAAAGGCCCACCAAGGCGACGAUCCGUAGCUGGUCUGAGAGGAUGAUCAGCCACACUGGAACUGAGACACGGUCCAGACUCCUACGGGAGGCAGCAGUGGGGAAUAUUGGACAAAGGGCGCAAGCCUGAUCCAGCCAUACCGCGUGGGUGAAGAAGGCCUUCGGGUUGUAAAGCCCUUUUGUUGGGAAAGAAAAGCAGCAGGUUAAUACCCCGCUGUUCUGACGGUACCCAAAGAAUAAGCACCGGCUAACUUCGUG
rnacentral:rRNA from 1 species